AUACGGAGGAUCCGAGCGUUAUCCGGAUUUAUUGGGUUUAAAGGGAGCGUAGGUGGACAGUUAAGUCAGUUGUGAAAGUUUGCGGCUCAACCGUAAAAUUGCAGUUGAUACUGGCUGUCUUGAGUACAGUAGAGGUGGGCGGAAUUCGUGGUGUAGCGGUGAAAUGCUUAGAUAUCACGAAGAACUCCGAUUGCGAAGGCAGCUCACUGGACUGCAACUGACACUGAUGCUCGAAAGUGUGGGUAUCAAACAGGAUUAGAUACCCUGGUAGUCCACACAAUAAACGAUGAAUACUCGCUGUUUGCGAUAUACAGUAAGCGGCCAAGCGAAAGCAUUAAGUAUUCCACCUGGGGAGUACGCCGGCAACGGUGAAACUCAAAGGAAUUGACGGGG
rnacentral:rRNA from 1 species